CCCUUUGGGUGUGACUGCGUACCUUUUGUAUAAUGGGUCAGCGACUUAUAUUCUGUAGCAAGGUUAACCGAAUAGGGGAGCCGGAGGGAAACCGAGUCUUAACCGGGCGUUAAGUUGCAGGGUAUAGACCCGAAACCCGGUGAUCUAGCCAUGGGCAGGUUGAAGGUUGGGUAACACUAACUGGAGGACCGAACCGACUAAUGUUGAAAAAUUAGCGGAUGACCUGUGGCUGGGGGUGAAAGGCCAAUCAAACCGGGAGAUAGCUGGUUCUCCCCGAAAGCUAUUUAGGUAGCGCCUCGUGAAUUCAUCUCCGGGGGUAGAGCACUGUUUCGGCUAGGGGGCCAUCCCGGCUUACCAACCCGAUGCAAACUGCGAAUACCGGAGAAUGUUAUCACGGGAGACACACGGCGGGUGCUAACGUCCGUCGUGAAGAGGGAAACAACCCAGACCGCCAGCUAAGGUCCCAAAGUCAUGGUUAAGUGGGAAACGAUGUGGGAAGGCCCAGACAGCCAGGAUGUUGGCUUAGAAGCAGCCAUCAUUUAAAGAAAGCGUAAUAGCUCACUGGUCGAGUCGGCCUGCGCGGAAGAUGUAACGGGGCUAAACCAUGCACCGAAGCUGCGGCAGCGACACUGUGUGUUGUUGGGUAGGGGAGCGUUCUGUAAGCCUGCGAAGGUGGCCUGUGAGGGUUGCUGGAGGUAUCAGAAGUGCGAAUGCUGACAUAAGUAACGAUAAAGCGGGUGAAAAGCCCGCUCGCCGGAAGACCAAGGGUUCCUGUCCAACGUUAAUCGGGGCAGGGUGAGUCGACCCCUAAGGCGAGGCCGAAAGGCGUAGUCGAUGGGAAACGGGUUAAUAUUCCCGUACUUGGUGUUACUGCGAAGGGGGGACGGAGAAGGCUAUGUUGGCCGGGCGACGGUUGUCCCGGUUUAAGCGUGUAGGUGUGUGUUCCAGGUAAAUCCGGUUCACUUUAACACUGAGGCGUGACGACGAGGCACUACGGUGCUGAAGCAACAAAUGCCCUGCUUCCAGGAAAAGCCUCUAAGCAUCAGGUAACAUCAAAUCGUACCCCAAACCGACACAGGUGGUCAGGUAGAGAAUACCAAGGCGCUUGAGAGAACUCGGGUGAAGGAACUAGGCAAAAUGGUGCCGUAACUUCGGGAGAAGGCACGCUGACACGUAGGUGAAGUGAUUUACUCAUGGAGCUGAAGUCAGUCGAAGAUACCAGCUGGCUGCAACUGUUUAUUAAAAACACAGCACUGUGCAAACACGAAAGUGGACGUAUACGGUGUGACGCCUGCCCGGUGCCGGAAGGUUAAUUGAUGGGGUCAGCGCAAGCGAAGCUCCUGAUCGAAGCCCCGGUAAACGGCGGCCGUAACUAUAACGGUCCUAAGGUAGCGAAAUUCCUUGUCGGGUAAGUUCCGACCUGCACGAAUGGCGUAAUGAUGGCCAGGCUGUCUCCACCCGAGACUCAGUGAAAUUGAACUCGCUGUGAAGAUGCAGUGUACCCGCGGCAAGACGGAAAGACCCCGUGAACCUUUACUAUAGCUUGACACUGAACAUUGAGCCUUGAUGUGUAGGAUAGGUGGGAGGCUUUGAAGUGUGGACGCCAGUCUGCAUGGAGCCGACCUUGAAAUACCACCCUUUAAUGUUUGAUGUUCUAACGUGGACCCGUUACCCGGGUUGCGGACAGUGUCUGGUGGGUAGUUUGACUGGGGCGGUCUCCUCCUAAAGAGUAACGGAGGAGCACGAAGGUUGGCUAAUCCUGGUCGGACAUCAGGAGGUUAGUGCAAUGGCAUAAGCCAGCUUGACUGCGAGCGUGACGGCGCGAGCAGGUGCGAAAGCAGGUCAUAGUGAUCCGGUGGUUCUGAAUGGAAGGGCCAUCGCUCAACGGAUAAAAGGUACUCCGGGGAUAACAGGCUGAUACCGCCCAAGAGUUCAUAUCGACGGCGGUGUUUGGCACCUCGAUGUCGGCUCAUCACAUCCUGGGGCUGAAGUAGGUCCCAAGGGUAUGGCUGUUCGCCAUUUAAAGUGGUACGCGAGCUGGGUUUAGAACGUCGUGAGACAGUUCGGUCCCUAUCUGCCGUGGGCGCUGGAGAACUGAGGGGGGCUGCUCCUAGUACGAGAGGACCGGAGUGGACGCAUCACUGGUGUUCGGGUUGUCAUGCCAAUGGCACUGCCCGGUAGCUAAAUGCGGAAGAGAUAAGUGCUGAAAGCAUCUAAGCACGAAACUUGCCCCGA
rnacentral:rRNA from 2 species